ACAACGAUGCUCCGAUAUUACGCAUUGCGCGUUGUUUAUUGUUCAGAAAAGC
ensembl:ncRNA Y38H8A.10 ncRNA